rnacentral:rRNA from 1 species
AUACGAAAGGUGCAAGCGUUGUUCGGAUUUACUGGGCGUAAAGAGAUCGUAGGUGGUUUGUUAAGUUGGAUGUGAAAUCCCGGGGCUCAACCUCGGAACUGCAUCCAAAACUGGCAGACUUGAGUUCGGGAGGGGUAAGCGGAAUUCCGUGUGUAGCAGUGAAAUGCGUAGAUAUACGGAGGAACACCUGAGGCGAAGGCGGCUUACUGGACCGAUACUGACACUGAGGAUCGAAAGCGUGGGUAGCAAACAGGAUUAGAAACCCUAGUAGUCC